rnacentral:rRNA from 1 species
UACAGAGGGUGCAAGCGUUGUUCGGAAUUAUUGGGCGUAAAGGGUGCGUAGGCGGUGCGGUAAGUCUGUAGUGAAAUCUCUGGGCUCAACUCAGAGUCUGCUAUAGAAACUGCCGUGCUUGAGUGUGGGAGAGGUGAGUGGAAUUCCCGGUGUAGCGGUGAAAUGCGUAGAGAUCGGGAAGAACAUCGGUGGCGAAAGCGCUCUACUGGACCGCAACUGACACUGAGGGACGAAAGCUAGGGGAGCGAAUGGG